CAUGCUUGACUGUAGGCAAGACACACUUGUCUUUGUACUCCUCACCUGGUUGCUGCCACACACAUCUUUUUUCAGAUCCUCAUAGAGUUCUUUGCCAUGAGGUGCCAUGUUGAACUUCCAGUGACCAGUAUAAGAGAGUGUGAGAUCGAUAACACCAAAUUUAACACACCUGCUCCCCAUUCACACCUGAGACCUUGUAACACUAACAAGUCACAUGACACUGGGGAGGGAAAU